GCCAAUCAAAUCCGUCAAGUAGGCCGUCUCCGGUGUAUGCACUACAUCCCACGAUUCUCCAGUGCCGGCUAUUAUCCAUGGCCUCCAGGUUGAGCACCUGAAUCAGAAGAAGUUAGGUUCCCUCUGUUUUAAUGUAAACAGAACUUUAGGAAUAAAUGGCCAUACACGAAAAAUAGAUGGGUUGAGGAUCAAUGUGAAAGAAAGUUAAGCCAGCUGAAGUAAUUUGAACACUACCUACUCAUACUUCCUAAACCAUGGCCAGAAAGAAGCUACUUUCCUGAUCUCUCAGUACUUUCUUAUCCAUGGCCUCCAGGUUAAGCACCUGAAUCAUAAGUAAGUUAUUUUCCCUCUGUUUGAAUGUAAACAGAACUUUAGGAAUAAAUGUCCAUACACAAAAGAAAAAUAGAUAGGUCGAGGAUCAAUGUGAAAGAAAGUUAAUAGCCAGCUGAAGUUAUUUGAAC
rnacentral:lncRNA from 1 species